UGGGGAAUUUUGGACAAUGGGCGAAAGCCUGAUCCAGCCAUUCCGCGUGAGUGAAGAAGGCCUUCGGGUUGUAAAGCUCUUUCGCAAGGGAAGAAAACUUACUUUCUAAUAAAGAGUGAGGCUGACGGUACCUUGAUAAGAAGCACCGGCUAACUACGUGCCAGCAGCCGCGGUAAUACGUAGGGUGCGAGCGUUAAUUGGAAUUACUGGGCGUAAAGCGUGCGCAGGCUGUUUUGUAAGUCAGAUGUGAAAUCCCCGAGCUCAACUUGGGAACUGCGUUUGAAACUACAAGACUAGAAUAUGUCAGAGGGGGGUAGAAUUCCACGUGUAGCAGUGAAAUGCGUAGAGAUGUGGAGGAGUACCAAUGGCGAAGGCAGCCCCCCUGGGAUAAUAUUGACGCUCAUGCACGAAAGCGUGGGGAGCAAACAGGAUUAGAUACCCUGGUAGUCCACGCCCUAAACGAUGUCUACUAGUUGUUGGUGGAGUAAAAUCCAUGAGUAACG
rnacentral:rRNA from 1 species